GACAGAGGGUGCAAACGUUGUUCGGAAUUACUGGGCGUAAAGGGCGCGUAGGCGGCCUGCUAAGUCGAACGUGAAAUCCCCGGGCUCAACCCGGGAACUGCGUCCGAUACUGACAGGCUUGAAUCCGGGAGAGGGAUGCGGAAUUCCAGGUGUAGCGGUGAAAUGCGUAGAUAUCUGGAGGAACACCGGUGGCGAAGGCGGCAUCCUGGACCGGCAUUGACGCUGAGGCGCGAAAGCCAGGGGAGCAAAGCGGG
rnacentral:rRNA from 1 species